ACUAGAUGCGGAUACUCAGUCGAAUGAUAUAGAUGCAAGAACACAAGAGCAUCGUCAUACCGAGA
rnacentral:tRNA from 1 species